UUCAAUUUGGCAGAAUAUGAUGUGCCGGAUUUAGAAUUCGUUUAUGGUUUACCAGUUGAUG
rnacentral:tRNA from 1 species